CAUCGUACCGCGCCGACUCCACCGAUCUUUGGUACAAGGGACAAAUGUUGAAAUGGGAGACGUAGUCGUCUAAAUAACGCAAGAACUGGUCUCUGGGCACGUAAGUCGGGUAGGUGGUCGGGAACGGCUUGAGAGGAAGUUGACAGAACUGUUUAGCCAGGUGAAGAUGAAGGCGGUCGUAGGAAUAUUUCUUCCACAAGGAAGCAAAACAAUCUUCUCUCUCAAGGACUAUGUUUGGAAUGGAAAGGUUGUUCAAGCAUGCUGCAGUUGCAAGCCCCGACGGCCCAGCUCCCACUACUAUUACCACUUGUUCUUUGGUUGCCAUGGCUUAGAGGAAUAUGGCUGGCCUUGACAAACAAGUACUACUAGUAAUGUUUAAUCUGAGUAGUAUCCAUCUAAAUCUAGAACCCCCCACCAUCACCAUCAACAUCACCAUCAACAUCAAGAUAGUUGUACGUAUUACAUCUCAUUGGGAUGAGGAUGCUUGUGAGUGCUGUAAUCAUCCAUGGCCACAAGAAAAUGAACACCUAUUUUUGUUUUUUCGGAGGCGGUGGGGAAUUGCUCGUCUCAAUUUCCAUUCGAGAAUUCCCAUUUCACCAUGCAGUCGCAUCGAGUUUCUCAUCGGCGGCUUGAAAAUAUUGUACAUUGUUGUUGUUUUCUUCUUUUCUUCCGUGUAUACUUUUACCACUUCUUCUAUGGUCACUGCUAAUUGAUUCAUUUCACAAUAUUUCUUUUGCGGUCAUGCUCAUUCUUCACUAUUAUAAAGUCUUAAUCGUAUAAGAAUACAAGUAUAAUUCUAUUGGCUAGAAGCAAACGAUUUGGUAUGACCUUAGACGUGGAAUACAUAGUAUAUACUUGCUAUCCAAACACGUUUAAACGUGGAAUACAUAGUAUACACUUGCAAGGCAUACUCAUAAUUUUGUCAUCAUAUAGUAUAUGCCAUAAUUUUGUCAUCAUAUAGUAUAUGCCAUAAUUUUGUCAUCAUAUAGUAUAAUAGGUUUGUUUGGAUAGGGUAUUAUUUGAAAUAAUUACUGUAUCAUUUUUUUGUAUGUGAGAUAAAAAGGUGAUUGGGAAUAUACAAAGAUGAAUUGAAAAAUGUAUUUAUGAUGCAAGCGAAAUAUUAUUUGGGAUAAACCUGCUAUCCAAACAAACCCAUUAUUUACUCGCCUCAGUUACCAUACUUUUGUCAUACUCAUUCAUUAUUAUAUAGUUUUAGUCGUAUAAGGGGUGAGGGAUAAAUUAGAUGGUUUAAGGAAGAGAGUGUAAGUGAGAAAUCUUUGAUUCAAAUCUUCCCACUUACACGAUUUAUAUAUAUAUAUAUAUACAUAUAUAAAACUCUUGCUUGUAUAGGAAUACAAGUAUAAUUCUAUUGGCUAGAAGGAAACGAUUUGCUAUGACCUCCUUUGAUUUGUGCAAGACAUGGCAUAUAGCUGCAAGGCAUAAUAUAGUAACAAGAGGCGUACUCGGGGAAUUUGUGGAAAACAAACGGGCCACGUUUCCCUCUACACGUGUUUGUUUGUGUUCUUUUAUUAUUUGUGUUCUUUUUGCUUCUUAAUUCAUUGACUUCAAGGUGUUGAAUGGUCUAUCAUCUCUGCUCUCGAAUUGAAGGUUAACCACAUCAUUACAGAACAUAACUACUAGUGUGUUACUACUUCCAAAUUUCUAGUAUGUUUUUCAUUUUUAUUUUUAUUUUUAUUUUUUUGAGUGCGGUCGUGUUACUAUUUAUCUUAAAAUAAGACGGGACAUUUGUUGCUUCAAUCACAAUCUUGAAAAUCCACGUAUACUAUCUCAAAACAAAAUAUUAUUUAAGCAAAUUACGUGUGAAAUCGUCCUCUACAUGUCUCAAUGAGCUGCGUUUAGUAGAAAUUUGUUGGAAGAGAUAAAGAAUUACAGCAAGAAUUUCAGGUGUCACGAGCCAACCGUCGUAGCACCAAUUUGUCUGUACGACAUCACCUGGUGCUUCGUUGGGGUGGACACGAACAUGAUGGGUAAGGUCCCCCAUCUAUUGAUGAUAAAAUUGAAAUUUGAAAUAGUUUAAAUUCGUUAAGUUAUUGCCAAGUAUUAAAUUUGAUAUAUUUAAAUAUAUAUUACAUUAAAUAAUAAAUGAAUCACUUAUCACUAAUUUUUUAGAUCAAAUUUUAAAUUGAGUACCACUUAAUUGAUUCAUAUGUUCAAUUUUUAUUAUUAAAUGUAUCUGAAAGUAUUAAAAUUUGAAUCCAUUAAUUUUAAGUAUUGAAUUGAGUUAUUAAACAAUACCUUAUUAUUUAUGCAGAAUUCAAAUUUCAUAUUUCAGAUUUCAAUUGUUGUUUUAUCCAAAGGAAAGUACUUAAAAAAAAAAAAAAAGCAAUAUAAUGGGAAAACCAGAUCCUUUCUUAACUAAGACCCAGGUAAUUACAAACUAAGCAAUAAGCAUGUCAUCAGUUUGACCUUAUAUGUUCAAGAUAUGGAUGCAGGAUGGAUCAAUCUUUAUUACAGUGUCACCGAACGGACACGAAUGCAUGUUAAAUAUACAGGAAGUAGGAACUGAAAUUUAAUUUCAUAAUAGAAGGAAGAAAUAUGCAUCUAGGUCGCUAAUAUACAGACCCGGCAUGUGUGUCAUAAUCUUAGCCUGAUGGAUCAUUGUCAGGAAUCCUGCAAUUGGUGAUUAAACUUGUGAAAUCGCUUGAACAUCAUAAUAAUGUCAUCAACCCUGUUUUACCAUCCUUGGGAAUGACAGGGCAAUGUUGGGUGGUAAGUAGAAAGUAGUAGAAGAAGAAGUAGGUAUAGAUAUCAGGGGAAAGAAAAGAGGGAGGAUACCUGAAAGACACAAUGGGGUUUGGGGGAUUUUUUUUUUUUUUUUUGGGGAGAGGGGGGAAGGGGUUUGGGAAGUAACAGAACGGCAUAAUUUUCCAGAAAAUAUAAUGGUUCAGGUCCUCUUGGCAGAAUAACUGCAGGCCAGAACUAUUCAGAAAAUUAAUGUUGGUAACUCGUCAUUUGCAUUUCUAAUUACAACAUUCAUGCCAGAAAUGGAUAAAUUGAUUUCAUAAUUUCCACCACCUGUCCUUAAUAAUGUUAAUGAAAACAUUCCGUAUUGCAGUCAAGGAUUGUAUGGCAUUUAACUCAGACCCCCAUCCAUAGACAAGAAAUAAAGUCAGAUUUUUAAGGUGCAGAUACUUGCAGUAAUGUCAUUCUGUAUUUUAUCAGCAUACCUUUCAAUAUGCUGCAACAACCAAUGAUGUUAGAGAUGUGCUUCUUUCUAGCCAGGAAUCUAAUCCUGCUGUAUCCGUUGAAUUAUGAGAUCAACAGCUGCAUUUGCUGAUGAAAAUGCUCCAUGAAAGCUCUCCUGAUAGGAUAUAGAACCCAAUUCCUGAACCAUUUCCAACAAUAUUUCGCCCAGGUCAGUUUUUUUCUCCAUCAACGACUUGUAAAAUGAGUGGCUAGCAACCUCACUAAUUUUGAUGUUCGUUUCCUCGGGACAGUAUUCAUCAUCCAACCACUUAUGAAGAGUCACCCUUAGCCAUUCUGAUUCCUGCACUUCUAUGAUACACAACCAUUAACCAUAUUUCCAUAAAGGGCAGGAAACCAUGGAAUCACAAAUAGCAAUCCAUAAACAUUUGAAAUUGACGAUGGAUUGCAACUUCUCUCCAACAAGAGCUUCUAAUUAUUCAAAGCAAAAAUGAGAUUGCUUGGUAGCCAAGAGAUAAUUUAUAGAAUCGAGGACGGAUUAACCAGAAAGUCCACAAGUGUUACAGUUCUCUCUCGAUUCUAAAAGCUAGGGAUGCCAUGGUGACACAGAGAUUUUCUUUCUCUAUUUUUCUCCAAUCGAAAUAAGCACUAAAAAAUUGUUCUACAUGCAAAUUUGCAAUAAAGAUGUAUAUUUAGUUCGCAAGAUAUAUCGAACCUGCCAGUUCUAAAAUAAUGCUAAUACCUGAAAACAUUCAGACAUAUCAAUAGCAGACUAGCCAUCUAAUGAUAUGUAGAAACCAACCCAUGUUGUUACAAGUUUAAAUACAGAAACUUCGUGGCAACCAAUGUUCAAUGAAGAUCCGAAAGCUUUCCACACAAAUUGAUCAUUAAAAAACUUAAAAUGUAGAAGAGUGGCUUUCAUCACCAUUCUUUGUGCGCCAGAGUGAAAAUUGAUUAAAAAAAGAUCUUCUAAGCAUGAUUGAUCUUAAUGGAGAAGAAGAGAAGAAGAAGAGGAUAGCACAACAAAUUGUAGAGAGCAAAAGAAUCCACGAGGAGUAACAUUACAAUGGAUUUUUUUUUUUUUUUUUAAACAAAAGGCAUAGGAUAAGAAUCGCUACGCAUUGAGACGUGUCUUUGGUCAAUUUAGGAUAAAAGUGAAAGGCAAGCCACCACUAUCAACCGUCAUCUCCAGUCAUCCAGCUAAAGCAAACAAGAAAAGCAUUAUGGAAGCGCGUCUUAGGGAAGAGCUGGGCGAGACAGAGGCUUUGGACUAAACAAAGUAAAAAGAAGAAAACAAGGAAGAAACCGAUAAACUGCAUCAAGGGAUGAGCAAGUCAUGCAACCUAAUCCUCUAAUUUAUUCAAGUAAACGAGCCAUUUCCGUCAUUUCACGAUCAAGACGAAGAUGUGUUUUUAUUUUUUGCGUCUUUUGUGAUGAAAAGAGAAAUAACGAGCUAAAUUAUAAGCCCGCCAGAAGGCUCAAUCCAUCAUUGCUACACCCAAAUCAAAUUUUCACCCUCUCACUUAGCAGCAUACAUUCAAUCAUUUAAACAGGCGUACAAGGGAAAUAAACAGAAAAAAUGUCAUAAUUAUAAAUGAAAGAAAGAAUUGUAGGCGCUGUAUCAGUACAAUUAUGCAAUUAACUGAGUAGUAUCGCCAUAAUUAAUUAACCCAAUGCCCCACCCCAAGUAGACCCAGUAUGGGUACUUGAUUGAGUCACAAACCAUCCACAGACACCCAUAAAAGUGAACGAACAUUAAAUCUUGCGACGAAGAAUUAAAAAAGAAACAAAGAAAACAAAACAUAUUUACCUCCAAGGCUUGCGAAGGGUCUAACCAACUGCUUGGGACCCUAAGGUGUUGAACAGAAUCUUCUUCUGGGUCGCCUUCUAUAUUGUACUGGGUGUUUGAAGGAGAAAGAAGACUUGGAAAUCUGGAAAGUCGGAGCUCAUGUUUGUGAUGGAAUUUGGGUUUAAAAUAAAGAUUCAGGCUGCCCGAGUUUCCUAUUUUAUAAUGGCCUACAUACUUUAGCUCUGCCAUUAUCAGGGUUGGAUUUGAGAAUAACACCGAACCCAUUUCUCAGAACAAUCUGUGAUAACUUUUUUCCUCGGACCUUUUUUCGCGGGUUUUAGGACAGAGCAGAAAAACAAUUUGCUGCCGGGAGAAAAAGAGGAACACAGAAGAAACCGAGAAUUGCACGGACAUAUGGCGUGUCAAUUUCUUUGGACGAACGCUCCCGCGAUAAUUUUAGAUAAGGGAGCAAAGUCGAAUAAACUGGGAGCAUUUAUGAAGCUCGUUGGCGAGUAGCGACCGAUGGUGUUAGCUUAGUGGUGUCAGGUGAUCUUUGAAAUAGGGACGUAAUCGAGCCGAAUGGAACGCAAGUAUUGCUGCACUCAAAUUCAAACGAAUAACAGAAAUGGAGUUCGAACUCAAACUCGAAUUCGAAAAAUGGUUCGAAAACUCAAGAUCGGCUCAAUUAUACUCAUUUUCUUGCAAGUAUGAUCGAAGUCAAGUACUUGACUCAACUAAAAGAGUAAUUAUAGUAAUUUAUAUUACUUCCAAACCUAAAAGAGUAAAAUUGUAAUAACUAAAUAUAUAAUUUUAAUUAAUUUUUUUGUACUCGGUAAGGCUCGACGAGCCACCGAAAAAUCAAUCCUCGAACCGGACUUGAAUAAUUAUUGAAUUGCUCACGCUCAAUUCACACUCAAUUUUGACCUAGUGCGAGUCAAACUUUUGACCGAGUUGCUCGUGAAUAAUUUGAUUCGUUACAUCCCUACUUUGAAGUAAAAGGUGAAUAUCAAAUUUUUGUCAAAUUCCAAUGUCUCAAUAUUUCAAAUUUUUGUCAAAUUCCAAUGUUACAUAGUAAUUCCACAAGCAUUACGAACACUUCUAGGCCGUGAUGUUUGUGGAGUGACAAUUCCUCGUCUAGUUAAUAUAUAACGGGCUCAAGCCCUCCUUUGUACCGAAAAAAAAAAUUGAGAUGGCUCAUUGAAUCGAAAAACUUACCGAGUCACGGAUUAUUGAUUCAACCAUUAAGUUGGCCGUUAUCAAAGCAUAGCAUCAUAAAUAAACAAAAAAUAUAUUUUAUAUUACUACUUUUUAUCAUAUCUACAAUCUGUACAUCCCUCUAUGGAGGAUUAAACACAUGGUCAUCUAUACUAUAUAUAAAGCUUCAGGAUGAGAUUUGCAAUUAAUAUUGAGAUUAACAUUUAUUGUCAUUUUAUGAAUUAUUUUCAUCCUUAUCUAUACUAUAUAUAAAGCCUGACAAAUGGGUUUGGGAUUAACAUUUGAGUUAACAUUUAUUGUCAUUUUAUAAACUUCUUUUUUCAUCAUUAUAAAAACUACUUUUACUUUAAUCAUCUAUAACUAUUUUUACUUUUAACUUUUUAAGUAUGUUUUUUCAACAUAACUGCCCCUAAAUAUUAUAACUAUCAAUAUAAAAUUUAUUUUAUGAAAAAUGUUUAAAAGAUUAAAGUUUGUUUCAAUAAUAAAAAUUUUAUUUAAAAUAUAUAACAAUAAAUAAAAUAUAUUUUUUGAUUGCACACACAUUGAGUAUGCAUUAAGAACAGCAAGUAUAAUCCUUUUGCUAAUAAGUUUAUAAUAAAACAAACUAAAAGAAAAGUAAAAAUACAAAGCAAAAUAAAAGAAAAGCAAAGAAAAUUAAGAGCUGCAAGUAUAUCAUUGGGACGAGCUCGACACCAAGAAACAAGAAUCUUACUUUAGAAAAUUAUUAAAUUGCAAAGUAAAAUAAAAAUCAUACAUUAAGAAAUCAAAUUUGUGCACAUAGUUUAGGCACAAAACGGAAUUUUGUUGGAGGAAUUUGAGAGAUUAAUGGUGAUAUGAUGAAGAAAGGGAUGAUUAGUGUGAGAGGAAUUUGAAGGAAAUUCAGUAAAAAAUUAGAAAUAAAAAAAAGGAAUAACAUUGAAGUCUUGUGUCUGGACUUUAGUCAACUAUAAACUGGGCCUAUCUAAUUAGUCUCUAGGUUAUUUUUCUUUUUUUUUUCUUUUUGACCUUUUUUUUAACCAAUUGAAUGGACUGAAUUGGUUUAGCAAAAACUGUUUUGGUUGGUCAUGGGUCUCCCUGCAUAUGUUAUGUCAUGCUACAUACUUCUAAAGGAGUUAUGUAAGUGCAUUGGAAGAGAAAUGGCAAAGUUCCGGUGGGAAAGUAAUAGAGAGAAAAAAAAGAUGCAUUGGAUAAGGUGGGGGAAGCUGUCUGAAGCAAAACAGAAUAGGAGCUUGGGCUUUAUAGAUUUAGAAAACUUCAAUCAGGCACGUCUGGCUAAGCAGCUAUAAAGGAUACUUAAAAUGCCAAAUUUAUUGGUGAGUAAGAUUCUUAAAGUCAGAUAUUUCAAAGACGCUUCAAUCUGAAAAAUGAAAAGGAGAAGCACUAAUUCUUGGUGCUGAAGAAGCAUUUUAAGUGCAAGGCCUUUAUUGGAGAAAGGGGUGAGAAAGAGGAUGGGAGAUGAGAAAACAAUAGAUAUCUGGAAUGACAGAUGGGAUUCCAGGGGUGGCAAGAAGGAAGGUGAGCACACAAAGAAACCCAUAACUGGGAUUGUGUAAGGUUAGUGAACUGAUUAAAGAUGGCAGUUGGAAUGAUGAGCUACUGAAAAGUGUUUGCUGAGGAGGAUAGGGAGAGUAUUAUGAAGAUCCCUUUAAGUCUUAAGGAAACAAAUGACAGACUAUUAUGGACAUAUUCUGCCUCUGGGGAAUACAUAGUUAAGUAUGGAUAUAAAGUUGCAAAGGGAAGCAUGGCAGGAAGAAAUAAGAAGGAGAACAAUGAGGAAUCAGGAAGUAGGAAUGAGGUUAAUGCUAAAAGAUGGAAGGUAUUAUGGAAUCUAAAAAUGAAGCAAAUACUAAAACAUUUUUAUUUGGAAAUGCAUGAAAGGCAUCCUACCAGUCAAUGAAGGAAUCAAGGCUAGAAGCAUGAAAGGCAAUCCAUUAAGUAAAUGUUGUGGUAUAUACUCAGAAUCGAUAGAACAUAUGCUGUUUCUAUGCAGUUAUGCAGAGGCAAUUUGGAAAGUUGCGCCAAUACAAUGGGAUGGGUUGGAUAACUUGAAAGGAAAUUUUUGGCUUUCGUGGUCUGAGUUGGUGGAAGCAACUGCACGGGAGAAGGGGUAAGAGCAUAUUACAUUCACAGUCAACCUGUUAUGACAAAUUUGGAAGGCUAGGAAUGAGACAAAUUUCAAUGGGAAGGGGAGAUGUCCAUUGACAGUAGUGAGUAGAGCACUGGCAGAUUAGAAGGAAUACCAAAAAGCUCAAGAAAAAGAAAAGAAGGAAGAGAUGGAGUUAUAACAUAUGGAGGGGAAACCAGGAAGAUGGCAUGCUCCUGACAAAUGAUGGAUUAAGUUGAAUACAGAAGCAGCACUGAACCAACAGACAAAAAAAGCAGGCUGGAGAAUUGUUGCUAGAGAUUGGAAGGGAAAGCUGCUUCUACCUGGGCAUGUCCCUUCUUCACGUGUACUGAACCAAAACUUGAGGAAGAACUGGCAAUCCGAACUGCAAUGGUUAAAGCAGCACUGGAAGGAUGGGAAAGAAUCAUCAUAGAGUCCGACUGCAAGGCCAUAAUAGACAAGAUAGAAAAGGACAUGGAAGAUGUGGUUAUCUCCAUAGUUCUACCGGAUAUAAAGCUGCUAAAAUAUAAUUUUGAGGAAUGUUGUUUCUCCUUUGUUAGAAGGGAGAUCAACUCUGUUAGUCAUAGCUUAGCAAGAUUUGUUCUAAAUUUAAAAGUAGUUGCAGAUUGGAAAGUUAGUUUUCCAGUUUGGUUGCUUGAGACUGUUCAAACAGACGUGGAGGAGCAAUUGCUUUAGGUUAUGUAAUCUGUUGUUUGUUAAUGAAAUGUUGCCGUUUUGACCCAAAAAAAAAAAAAUCUCACUCAAUUUGAGGCAUAACUUGACUAGAAUAGCUACUUGAUCAAUAGUUCAAUCAUUUCAACUGGGCGGUCUAGGUAGGUUUUAAAACCAUAUUCACGUAUAUAAAAGAAAAAAAAAUAUUAUUCUCACCUACUCACAAUUUCUAUGAACUCACUUGAAUAUUUUAAAUCAUUGAAUUUUGCCAUUAAUCAAUGCUUAUUUUAUGUGAUUGCUUCUUUUUUUUUUCCUAACCACUCUAACCUAAUGAACUUGAGAAUAAGAGGAGCUUGGAAGGAUUAGAGAGGUGAUUAGUUUGCAUUUUGAAUUCGGAAUUAUAAACUUCGCAUCUUAACUUUGGUUUUUACCACCCAUAAGUUUUGGUUUAAAAGUGAAAGAUUUUUCAUUCAACUAAAGAAUUAAUCAAUUUGAAUCUUGAGGUAAAAAUGUUAAAUAAUAGAGAGCAAAAUCUACUACUUUCAUUUUCACUAAAUGAUUCUUAUAGCAGUUCACCAAAUAUUGAGUAUGAGCAUUAUUAACUUUUAAAUAUAUUUUUGCUCUUUAUACCCAUUUAUGAAACACUCUAAAUUUUAUAGUGCUUUGAUUAUUUUUUUUAAAGAUGGAGGAAUAAUAAGGGAUUAAAAUGAACUAUAUUGUAAAUGGGUUAAUUAUUUUCUUUUGAAUUUUUAAAAAACAAUUAAAACAAAUAAUUUUAUUUAAGAUUACUUUCUAUCAUAAAGUAGGUGAAAAUUAUUGAAAAGAUAGCCAACGUUUAGGGGCCAUUUUGUUUAAAUCUCACUAUCACCAUCAGUAUUGAUAUGAUUGAUUAGUCAACAAAAUUUGAUUUUGAUGAAAACCUUUGGCAUGCGUGGUGAUAAUAUUUCUCCGGAAUAACAUAUUAUUCUAAAGAAAACUCUUACCAUAUUAUUCUCGAGAAAUUUUUUACCAUAUUAUUCUCGAGAAAAUUUUCAUUUAUUUUUCUAUCCAAACACACGAUUGUUAGAUUAUAUUAUGACAAAAUUAUUCCAAAGAAGGAAAAAUAUAUAUUAAAAAAAGAAAAUUUUGAGUUUCUCCCUAUUCCCACUAUAAAAACAAGGCUCACACUUGGAUAGAUCCGAUUUUUAAAGAAUCAAUGGUUUAGAUUAUACCACACCAACUCAAUAAAAAGUGUGAUACAAUCUGAACUAUUGAAUUUUUGAAAACUGGAUCUACCCAAGAUUUUGACUAAAAACAAUGACCGAGGCGAUGCCACAAUUAUGGGUGAACUUGGACGAGUUGCUGGGGGGCAGGCGGGCUGGCUGGCUUAGGUCCAGAGACAAGAUUAUAAUAAAAGUGCUACCUUUAGACUUGACAAAGCCUAACUCAUGGGAUGGAAACCCUUCAACCGACCCAAAUAAUUAAGGUUGAGUUGGCUGUAGCUUGGCUGGUUCGACCCAAAGAUAAAGGGUAGAGCGUAUUACGGUACUGCUUUGGGUACUGCUUUGGGAAUAUAAAGGGUAGAGCGUAUAAUUUUGCGUUGGGUAGAGUUUGGCUCUAGAUUUUAGACUCGAUUAGAAUAUGAGCUGAGUUUGGGUCUUUAUAGGCUAAAUUCGAUUAAAGUCUGACCCAUUAUUUUUCAGACACACACACACAUAUAUAUAUGUGCACCCUAAUAUAUAGAACUAUAAAUGUAUUAUUUUUAAAUAUGUAAUGUAUAAAUAAAGUAUUAGUAAUUAGCAGAAAGAGUAUUAGAUUCAUUAAAUAAAUUAUUAGUGGUCUGUUCAUGUUUUAUUAUUAUUUUUCAUGUAUUUUAAAAUAAUUAGAUAUAAUUAUCAUUGAAAAAUUUUUGAUAUACGUACUUUUAAUGAAUUUUUUACUAGUUUAUGUGUAGUUUUAAUGUUCUAGAUUUCAAAUUAAUUUUACCACCUAAUAGUUACAAUAAUUAUAUUAAAAAAAUUAGGAAAUAAUAAGCGAAUUUGGACCGAGUCCGAAUUAGACACGAGGCCCGAAUGCAUUGCGAGUCAGAUAUGAACUACAUAUAUAUUGUAACAUGAUACUCAUGAAUUUUUUUUUUUCCCAAGGACAACGAAACUCAUGGUUUAAGGUCCGGCACACAUACCCUGAUUGACAACCUGCAAAUAAUUCGUCGUUUUGGGAAAAAUCCAUUAGAAGGAGAAGGCGUCGAUUUAAAAUGGGAGAAGCCGAUAUCAGAUAUUUAUACUGGAUUUACAUAAGCAGAUAAGGAGCUAACCAGCAACACGUUUGUUACCUUUAGUAGUUAGUAGAAAGGCACGACUGAAGUCGCCUGCGUUCUCUCCCUCUCCGGGGCCAAGUUUCUACUUUCUACUACACUGAUAUAAAUGGCGACCGCGGCCGCAACCUGUUGGUUCACAGCGCUCACCUCCGCCACCGGCCCUUCCCGUUACUCCCUAACCUCACAACGUUUUUUCGCCACCACUUUAAGACGGCACUCUCAUUUAAUAGCUCCCAAUUCCGAAACUAAUCAAAAUGCCGAAACUCAUGCUGCUAUCAAUCCAAAUCGCAAGAGCAGAACCUCCAAGAAACCACUCCCUUCCUCUCCGCGUAAAUCCAGCGCACAGGUAUUUUGCAAAACCUAACCUCAUGCGCCACCAACUAUUUGUUUUACUUGUUUAAGAGAUUGUUUCCCUACUAGAAAAUCUUGAAUGUGUCGCUAGGUGUGUGAUUGUUUUUAAAAAAUGAGUAGUAACUAACUCAAACACUCAAUGUUGUUGCUAAUUCUGGUGAUUUUUGCACCAAUUUUUUCCCCCUGUCCUUACCUCUCAUCGUCAAUCACCAUUUAGGUGGCAUUUGGCCAAAACCAAUUCGAGUUGUAUUCCCGAAAUAAGUUUCAGCUUCAUCUCACUACAGGGAAAUUGGACAUCCUGAGAAAAAGAAAAGAAAUACAGUUUAGAUUUCUAUUCGAAUUUUUAGCUAAUACCAGGUCCCUUCACUAAUAUGAUGUGUACGUCGUUAAGUUCAGAAGGAAGCCAUUGGUCAGAGGUUUCCUGGGACGUCAAAAGAUGAGGUACAUUUCUCGCGUGCUGAUGCCAGGAGUAGUAAAACAGUACGAUCCCAACGGAAUCAACCUGUUGCCUUCAAAUCCUUUGGUCUGCAGAAAAAAGGAAACAAAGGAGGCAAUAAUGUGUUUGAUAUAAAAGAGCAACAGGUAAUUGGGGCAGCACAUUACGAAAUUUUCCUUUUAGAGUGCUAAUUAUAUAAUAAGCUGAAACAGGGAAUUUUCAAAAUUUUCUUACCUCUUUCUCCAGGUUGAAACAGGUAAUUUUCAAGAUGCAGCUUUUCUUAAUGCUGUUGUAAAGGUACAUGUCUACACUUGUGAACUUGGCAUGUAGAUUAGUUUGUUAAUUGCUGAUCGUCUCUUUCAUUAAAAUAUCUUUCAGGUGUACUGCACACACACUGCACCAGAUUAUUCGCUUCCUUGGCAGAAACAGAGACAAUAUACGAGUACUGGAAGGCAGGUUUACUGUCUCCAUCAUCCAUUGAUUUUCUUGGUAGUAGAUGUGGAAGAAUCUUCUGUAUUUAUCAGUUUAUCAUUUAGGUGACUUAGCUCAAAAACCCCCUGCUAGUUUUUUUAUAUGUUUGUUCUUCAACUUCUAUACACAGUGCCUUCAUGAUCGGUGAUGGGAAGCUUUUGACCAAUGCACAUUGUGUUGAACAUGACACACAGGUAAUUUUUGCUGAACAUGACACCAAGAUUAUCCCUCCCCUCCCCUUCAUGCUGCAUGAUUUUCCUAGUAAUAUUGCUUUUGAAGAUUGCAACUGAUACCAAGUUUAUACAUCGACAUUAUUCUUCUUAUUUCUGUGUCAUUAAUUCUUCAACCAUGGCCAAGAACCAUCAUUCUAAGUGUUAUAUUGAGAAACUGUCUUAUAAAUCCAUUUAACAAUCUUUGGACUUUUGCAAAUUUAUAACAAUGGCAAAAAGUGGAAUACCACUCGAGCCUUUCUAUGUUUUGAUGUGCGAGUUGUUAGUUACAUUCGUUAAUUCGUAUUUGCAUUAGCUUAUCAACCUGACAAAUGUGCUAUAUGGGGUGAUAAUUUUUCUGUCUUUUGGUCACAGGUCAAGGUGAAGAGAAGGGGAGAUGAUACCAAAUAUGUGGCUAAGGUAUAAUCCAUUGAGCAAUAUAGGCAAUACCCUUUAAUAGUUUAGUAGAGUCCAUUACUUAUCAUGGUCUCUGUGAAGCAUGUCACAUUAUGCUUAACAUACUGGUUUAGUUGAUUUUGGAAAUUUAGAAGUUGGUAAGUUUUGUUUCAGUCCUUGUUGAUGUGAUCUUGAAACUGAAAUCUGGUCUGUCUAAGGACUUCUUGAGAAUCAAAAUGAUAGAGCAUUUAUACUUUUGUUGGUGAAGAACAAUAUGAACUGCAGUUUAUUAAUGGUAACUCAAAACUUUUGGCCUGGAAAUGGGUAGUUAUUCUUUUGGUUGUGUUUUAAUUUUUUAGGGGGUAGGCCCUAGAAAGGGUAUCAGUCUGAGAUUGUUAUUGAAAGGAUUGUGGAUUUUGAUGUUGGCACUGGUUUCAUGAUAUAAUCCACAGGUUUUGGCUAGGGGAAUAGAGUGUGAUAUGGCUUUACUCUCGGUAGAGAGCACAGAAUUCUGGGAAGGAGCAGAGCCACUUCAUUUUGGACGCUUGCCUCGGCUGCAGGUGCUUUUUCUUUAUAUGUUUAUCUUGGCAAACAGUAGUUUUAGCUGUGAGUUCUAUAUGUUUGUAUUUUAUAUGUCCAGUGUAGUGUCUAUUCUUUUUGCGCUAGUUUUGUGGUUGUGAAUCAGACUUGAGGUUGAACUAGUGUAGAAUUCAUAUCCUUUAAGUAACUUUAUGUAUAGGCUUGUGCUAUUUUUGGAAUACUUUUCUGCCAAGUUUUGGCAAACCUGGCAAAUAAAGUUAGGUGCACAUUGUUAACCUGUUGUCUCAUCUGGUUUAAAGUAAUAUAUUUCCAAUGCUUACCUGACCAAUUUGUUGACAGGAAAAAUAGUUAAUGUAGAAUUGGGUCCUUUUCUUAGAAUUUAAUUAAUUUAUUUUUGUUAUUUCCUUGUAAUUUGAUCAUCUGGUUUGUGUCACACAAUUUACUUAAUUGAGAGUUGUAGAGAUGGAAGUAAUCUCGUGAAAAUUGUGAAUUUUCUAAUAUCAGAAGGUGUACUGAAUUUGAGGCUUCCAAGUACAGGUUCACUUAAAACAUAUGCUUCGUUAUUGUAAAAGAGCACCUUAUGACUUUUGUUGGUACUUAUCUAAGUGAUUCUCUAGGGUUCCUAACUGCAUAGUUUCUAGUAAAAUUGAUUUAGUUUUGAGCUUUGAUUAAAUAUUUGAAGUAUUGGCCAAGAAGAUGUGUUUUCAGAAUGCAGCAAACUGUAGAAGAGGAUUUUGAUUUUGACAAAAUUGAUCUGCUCUCAGUUCAUCAAUAAAUACUGCCAAGAUAUUUUCAUUUUCACUUUUUUUGCAUUAAUAUUCUUUUUUAAUCAUCAGUACUAUAUGGUAUCUUUAUAAAUCUCCAGUGGUUCUUAUGCAACUACCUGUUUUAUCUGUGUGCAUGCCGCUGGAGCUACUAUGUAGAAAUACUUGUACUCAAAUGGGAAAGCUACUUGGCUAUCCUGGUCUUUUAACUUGAAGGCACAAGAUAUAGAUUAACUAUUUCUGUUGAAUGGCAGGAUCCAGUGACCGUCGUAGGAUAUCCCCUUGGAGGCGAUACCAUUUCUGUCACAAAGGGAGUGGUAUCAAGAAUUGAGGUUCGUUUAAUUGGAGUCUGAGUAUAUGGUUGGCUAAAGAUUUCCGCAUGCCAUCAAAUGAAAAUUUGAUGUCUACUUCGUCAUUAGUUGUGGUUGAAUAUUCUUCCAGUAUAUCAUGAAAUGAAAUCAAGUGUCCUUUGUCAUCACUUAUAGUUGAUGUUCCUAUUUUUACCUUAGGCAUGCAAAAGAAGCUUCAUUAACUGGCUGGAAUGUAUUGUUACCUUUCUAAUUAGUCUAUACCAUCAGGUAACCUCAUAUGCUCAUGGAUCAUCCGACUUGCUGGGCAUCCAAAUUGAUGCAGCUAUUAAUCCUGGUAAUUGAGCUUCUAUUAUGCUAUCACCGUGCAUGAGGAGCCUGAUAAUAGAUAAAAGUUGACCAUCCUUGUCUCCAAAUUAUCUUUCCGUGUUUAAUGCUACAACUCACUUGUAGCAAAUGCAUAUCUAGUCAUGUGUUAAAAUGCCAUGUAUUUGAUUAAGAUUGUUUAUUCCAGGUAAUAGUGGUGGUCCUGCAUUUAAUGAUCAGGGAGAGUGCGUCGGUGUGGCAUUUCAGGUAAUUUUUGCCAAGAGUCUAGCAGAAGUGAAGUAUAGGCUUGAGAUUCAGCUAUAAUGGUUUACUAACUUCUGCUACCUGCCCACCCUGUCCAGGGCAUAUCUACCUCUCUUCACCUAGUUAUGGACUAGGUCUUGAGUUGGCAGCAGUGUCAAAUUCAUACCAUUUCCAAAAUUGUUAAAACUUUUCCCCUUUUUUUUCUGGUUUAGAAUUGAGUAUUCACCGGAUCUUUGAUAUUCUCUGUUUGAUUCCUCAUGAUUAUCUGUUUUACCAUGUCUAAUGUGUCCUUACAAGGAAUUUAUUUUAGGUUUUCAGAUCUGAUGAAGUUGAGAAUAUUGGUUAUGUGAUUCCAACAACAGUUGUGUCGCAUUUUCUCGAGGACUAUGAGAGAAAUGGGAAGUACACUGGUAAGUGUAUAUUUUAAUCAGUUAUUUUGGUGUCAUCAGUGUUUGUAUAAUGUCUAGUAAACGCACACAGACACACAUCUCUUCUGUUAUUUAACUUAUUUGAAGGGUGUGAGAAGAAAUGGAUGAACUGUAAUGAUGAUCUACCAUGCUUUUGUGGUUGAAAUAUUGAGUGCUCACAAUGUUUUUUAGAUAUGUGAUGCUUUCCUCCUUGUCCUUGUUAUCAGGAGAGCAAUAAGCGUGUACCAUAAGAUGGUUACCUUAUUUAUCUUCUCCUACUCAUUCUCCUUUUUCAUUUUAGUUUUGUUUUCUUCUCAUUUUGGGCACAGAUGCAUGGUAACAUGCCAACACCAUUUUGCUGGCACAAAUUGGUUUGAUAUGGAGUUUUCUGUCGGUAAAUAGCCUCUACUUUAGGUAGGGGUUUGCAAGCCUUAGAGUACUUGCAUACUAGUUUCUCCAAUUAGUGCAUUUCUGUUGUCUUCCACUGCUGUCUGGAAACUUGUUUUCAAUUAUACUGUAACAUAAGAAUAUUGGAGUAAGCUUCUCUUCAUGAAUCUUCAGGUUUCCCUUGCCUUGGAGUGUUGUUGCAAAAGUUGGAGAAUCCUGCUCUUCGUGCAUGCUUAGGAGUGCCGUCAAAUGAGGUUUUUCUCUCUCUAAUUGCUCUCUAAUUGGACUAAAAGGAUAGUUGAAUCUGCUAGUUCAAAUGCUUGUAGCCUCACAGUUCUUAAUGGACAUCGCCAUAAUUAUACUUGUGAAUGUGUCAAAAUAUAUGCCUACUCCUUGGAUAUGCAUGUUCAGCGAACAUGGGUUUGCAUUUUCAUUCUUCUAUGACUAUUAAUUGUUUCUUGGAAAGGACUUUAGGGAGUUUUAUGGAUAUUGGGAAAGAUUACCUUGUGGAGAGCAGAAAUUUGCAUUGGGGUUGGUCAUGGUUGCUCCACGACACUGAAGAAGGUUGAAACAGGAAAUUAUCCAUUAUAGGGAAUUUAAGUUAUAUUUAUUGAACAACAGUAAGCAUUUAUUGUUUCUUUAGAUAACUGGAAAUACACCUAAUACAGAGUGAGUGCAUGUAUUUCUUGUUGACUUUACCAUUUCCGAUGUGGUAGUGUGUCUUGUUUGAUGUGUGAAUGUUACAAGUAAGAAGUGGUAGUUUUCUGUGAUUGAGAGGAAAAACGACCCAGCCCCCAAGAAGUUGUUGUCUGCGGGAGAGCAUUUUAAAGUGCAGAAUAGUUAGGAGAGAUUUGCCACAUCCUCCUUGAAAGGGGGAAGGAAUUUUCAUCUUGAAGCCCAAAUUGAGUAAAAUGUGAACUGAACAAUUCCCUGGUUCACUUGUGAUUGGCAAAAAUUCUAUCAUUUGUUUAUUGAUUUUACAAAAACUGUUGCUUUGAUGCUUAUUUUCAUACUAUUAUGUUUGUGGUUGUGAGGACUUAUGGUCUGAAGUAAUUUAAGAUUGUUUUCUGGAUCACAUGGGACAUGCCAUGUAGUUUUCUCUGCCUAUUUAACAAAUUAAUAGCAAUCCAAUUGUUCAUUUUCUGCUUAUUUUGCCAGACUUUUGCAUUGUCUCUUGCAAUUUUCCCACAAUGGUUUUUCUUCAGGGUGUGCUUGUGCGCAGAGUUGAGCCAACUUCUGAUGCCAGUAAUGUUUUGAAGGAGGUAUACCUGUAAUUUAUAGUUUCAAGGCCAAGAAAGCUCACAUUUGAUUUGUUUUUCCCUCCAGCAUAUACCAAAGUUUUGCAUCUUGCUCAAGUAUGGCACCAUAUUGAUAGCUAGCAUCUCAGCAUGGUCGAGUUAGUGUUGAUUAUAUUUCUGAUUAAUGCUCUUUCUUUUUCUUAUGCUUUUUUAUGAGGAAUUGUAAUUGAAAUUGUAUAUCUACUGCUUUAAGCUUCCUAAAUUCAGUUUGGAUCUGAAAUUAAUAUCCAUAGUUGGUACAGUUGUGCAAUUUAAUGGAACUUGCCUUUGUCCACAAUUUUUCUCGUAAGGUCCAUUGUUUACACAGAUAAUUGGUGAAAUAGUUUGUUACUCCAUCUCUUAUCAGGUUUACAUUCAAGUUGUUGUUGGCCAUUGAUUAUCAUCACAGCCAAGCACGUUGACUGUUUUUGAAUCAUUAAUCACCCUAAAGCUGCAAGUCCUUGUCCCAAAAUUAAAUUUACUAUUAGUAACUAUACCUUCCUUAACUUUAUCAUUUUCAAUCAGUUUUGACUUUUAAAUUCUUAAUGGUAUUACAAUUGGGUGACAGUGUAAUUCUGCUACGUGAGUACAAGUUACUUUCCCCUUAUUGUGAUUGGAUAUGAUUAGCUAUUUUGGUGUUGGACUCAUGGUUUGCCUAGAUAUGUUUGAAAUGACACUUCCAGUUUUCCGGUAUAUCUGAAUGAGAUGUGUCUCCUUUUUCCUAACUAUAGUUACAUUAUUAAGGAACAUACGGUGUUGGUUCUUUUAUUUGUGAGGGUUAAUACGGUUAGUGAUUUUUGGAUAGUAUGCCAGUGUUGUUUGCUGAAAGGCAUAGAGUCUUGACAUACUUCCCUAUUGGCUUUUCCUUUUCCUCUCAUUUACUGAUGUUUCCUAAUUGUGCAACAUUUUUGGGAUCCUUACUUUCUUCAGCUUUAAGGUAAUAGUACGCUGAAAUUCUUGAAAUUAAGUUACACUUGUACCCUGAUUUCCUUUCAGGGGGAUGUGAUUGUAAGCUUUGAUGGUAUUCGUGUUGGUUGUGAGGGGACAGUGCCAUUCCGAUCGACUGAACGCAUUGCAUUUCGCUACCUUAUUAGUCAAAAGUAAAUAUCUUAAUUUUCUGCAAUGAUGUUAAAUUAAGUUGAAUUUCAAUAUUUCUUGGUGUCAAGAUCUUUAUUUAAUUGAAUUCUGGUAGUGAGUGGCCUAUGAAGGUGAGGUUUGUCAUUUAAAAGCAUGUUGGGACUGUCAAUAUAGUUACAGUUUUGCAUCCAUAUACACAUCCUGAUCACUCUGUAAUUUUCCAUGAUACUUUUUAGAAUAUCUUUUUUAUUGUCAGUUCAAUAUCCAAGUAAUGGUUUUCGUUUACUGAUACUGGUUGAAGUUUAAGUACUGAAGCAUAUCAUUGUUUACCAUUGUCCUUUGGGUGAGCUAAGGAAUUUUUUCACUGGACUCCUGCUUUGAUUUAAUUUUUGUCUUCAGGCUUUGAUAUGCAGGAAUAUCAGUUGAUGAAUGUUUUCAAAUUUACAUUGCUGUUACUUCGCAAAUUUAACUCAAAUAAUAGAGUUAUCAUUGACAUGGUAUUCUAUCUGGCUCACUUCGAUGAGCAUCUACUGAAAUAUGAUUAGUUACAAGCACUAAAGGUUUAUAUAAAAUCGUCGAUACUUUUAAAUGGUUUUUUCCUGUCCUAGGUUCAUCGAUUACUGCUUCUUUAUUUAUAUGAGAAGCAAAAUUUCUCGCUUUCAGGAUGCUUUGUUUCAGAUUUGCAGGGGAUGUGGCAGAGCUUGGUAUUGUUAGGGCAGGGUCAUUCACAAAACUUAAAGCAGUUUUAAAUCCUCGUGUGCAUUUGGUAUGUAACAAAAUUUAAAAGAUGUGAUGUUAGUAUUUAAGUUUGAAAAUUUGACUCGAGAUCCCUACAGUAAAUCUAGAUCUAUUAUGCUUUUUAUUCUAGGUUCCAUAUCACAUUGAAGGAGGUCAGCCUUCAUAUCUAAUAGUUGCUGGAUUGGUUUUCACACCACUAUCUGACCCACUGAUAGAGUACGUCUUGUUAUUAACCUGUGCCUUUACCUUUUUUUGACUGGUAUUAUCCAGUCUCCAAAGAAAUAGUUCGUUAGGAAUUAUUUUCAUUACAGCAAAUUUACCUCUAUUAUUUGUGGCAGGGAAGAAUGCGAAGACCAAAUUGGGGUAGGUUUUGUUUAUUCAAUAUUUGCUUUAUUAUACUUCAGUUAAGCACUUCUAUUCAGCUAUUUAUUUGAUGGUUGCCUGCCUCUCUUCUCUGGGUAGUUGAAAUUAUUGACGAAGGCACGGUACUCGUUGGCUAAGUUCAAAGGGGAACAAAUUGUGAUCCUUUCACAGGUUGGUGCAUAACAUUCACCAAGUGUGAAGUCAAAUUGAUUUGUAGAUGCAGCUUUUGACGAAAAAAGUUUACACUCCUUUUUGUCUCUGGUUCUACUAUACGAGAGGAUAUCAUCUCCUAUCUAUUAAUAUGACUUAAGUGGAAACUGUAAUUCAACUUUGUUUCUCUUAGCUCACAGCCAUGGUCCAAUUGGAUAUUGCUAAAUGAUGAUUAUGAUGAAAGUAAAUAAAGGAAAAAAAAUCUGGAGAUGCUUGGUUAUAGUAUGAUAUAUGAAAUCCCUUAUUGGUCAUUUCAUCCUUUUUGUUUACAUGUAAUUCACUUACAGGUUUUAGCAAAUGAAGUAAAUAUUGGAUAUGAAGAUAUGAGUAACGAGCAGGCAAGCAUUUUCUUGAUGACUCUGGUUCUUGCCCUACCAUGUUACAUGGUUGGGAAUAAUUUCCAAAUUUGAAAGGUGUAAAUUUUUUCCUUAAUUUAGAAGCAAUUGCAGGUUUUGAAGUUAAAUGGAACGCGCAUAAAAAACAUUCACCACCUUGCUUAUCUUGUUGAUUGUAAGUAUUGGUUUGUACUUUAUCAAUUUUCUUGAUCUGUCUACUUUGAUUUGCUCUUUAUAUUACUAUUUUUCUCAGCUUGCAAGGAUAAAUAUUUGGUCUUUGAGUUUGAAGACAAUUAUUUGGCUGUUUUGGAAAGAGAGGCUGCUUGUUCUGCUUCUGCGCGCAUUCUCAAAGAUUAUGGGAUUCCGGCUGAAAGAUCUCCAGAUCUUUCAGAGUCAUAUGUUGACUCCCUUGGGGUAAACCAUCCAGUUGAACAACAUGAAUUUGGAGAUGGUCCAGUUUCAAAUUCAGAAUUUGGUUUUGAAGGUCUUCUUUGGGUGUGAAGAGAGCCGGAGGGAAUUCGAUUUGGUGAUAUCUAUAGCCAUUCAAAAGAAGUGGGAUGAAAAAUUGAGAAUAGCUUCUGCUAACGUUUCUGGUCACUAUGGAGUAGUAACACACCGCUGCUAGACAUUUUCUACAUUGGUUGGGCUUUGGGUCUCGGUAAUUGUCGAAUAUCUUGGAGGACAUGAGAAAAUCUGUUUUCUUACAAGCCAAAAAUUAACGUUUAUCUGAUUCUUCUCUUUGUAAUUAUGAAAGGAAAUAAUAGGCUACACGUCUUUAUGACUUUCACAGGAGAUGUAAUCUUUUCUGGACUUGCAAUAAUAGGCUAAUUCUGUUAUUAAGCUGUAACGCCUAGUGCAAAAACUAUUACGACAUAAAUUAUGAAAACGUUGUAAAAGAAAAAAAAAGACCCAGAUGGAGUGCCUUGGUGGAUGUGGAUAUGUAACGGUGUUAACGUGCAAAUUUUUCCCCGAAAUUUUUGUAUCUGCAGAGUCUGGAAUGGCUGGACUUCUCGUGUGUCGUACUCCUUAAUACGGUCCGCCGGGCUCCUUCACGAAAAAGAUUGUAGUCCAGGACUCGAGGUUUUCAUCAGACAAAAGAAUGUUCGGUAACAAUAAAAAAAGAUUGAAGUCCGGUACUAGAUGUUUGCGCGGGACAAAGAGAGGAGAGGAGAGGUCAUAACGGGAAAAAGCCGUAUAAUAAGUACCAUCAACAAACCCCUUUUUUUUUUUAUGAAAGAUCUUUUAGACCAUAAUAAUAAUAAUUAACUCUCUUAUUAUCUGUGAAUCUUGAUGUGUUUCCCAAAACCAUUUAACAGUUUCACUCUCUGUAAACCUUAGUAACAAAUUUUGCAACAUGUUGUAAUUAUAAAUCUGGAUAUCGAGCAGUCACAUCUGUAGAGCCCGUUUGAUAUCAUUGGCUAUGCUUUGGGCAUCCAGAGCAGCUCCAUACAAUCCUCUUCUGGCCAAACCAGCGCAGUACAAUCCCUUGGUACCCUUCCAGUUGUUAGGGAAGGCAGGUUUUGCAAGUCCAUCGUCAGACAGGAGAUAAUCAGCCCCCUGAGGCCAGUAGCCAAACACACACACACAAAAAAAAGAAGAAGAAAGUAAUCAGUAAUUGGAUGGAGCAAUCAGGGUUUUACUGUAAAUUGUUCUCCAGUGCGUACGCAUUCCUGGCCAGGUGGAGGUGGGGCAAAUAUUAUGAAGGUGUCAAGUUGAAGGAAGACGGGCAAGAAGUUCAAAAAGCAGCUGUGCAAGGCGAAUUAUAAUUGUACCUGGAGCCACUUAUUCGUCGAUCUCUUAAAGCCAGUUGCAAAAAUAAUAGCAUCAAAUGGGUAAGACUUGCCAUCCUCAAACACCACAUCAUUGCCCCCAAGACUUGCUACUGCCGGCACUACCUGUUUAUUUAUUUAUUUUAUGGUAUCAAAAUUAUAAGAUUUUACAACAUGCAUGCUUCAUACCGAAGGAAUUUCGAACAAUAUGUACUCGUAUCAUCACUCUACAUAAGUCGACAUGUAUCAGAACUGGAAAAUGGAAAUCAUACACGCAAAGCAAGAUAGCUACGUGCCCACUGAUCCACAUCAAUCCUGCAAAUAUGAUUAAAAUAGCAGUAACCCUUUAUUUUUUUUUUUUCCCCUUUUCUAUAGAACCCCCUUUUUUUCCCCUUGAAAAGAUAGCAUAUGAAAUCAAAAUAAUUAGAAGCAGAAUUAAUUUGCAUGGUCCACGCGCUAUCAGUUCAUCUAACUAUUGUACCGCGGUAAAAACGGUUCAAUUAAUGAAAGUGUAUUAAAAUCAUCGCGCAAUACUGCACCUGAAUCUCGCCGGAUUUGAUUUUCUGAUAGGUCCCAAUGUCAAUGACGGGGUAUUUGCCAUACUUGACUUUCAUGGUGAAGGGACCUUCCUCUGGCCUUUUGAUUCCGUACCUGGACAAGUCUCCUCCGUACCACAGCUUGCUCAGCAUCAACAACAGCGAGUCAACCGCAUUCAGAGAAACAUAUUUCAACAAAACCAGUCCCAUGUUUGCCAUUCCCCUUGACAGAAUGUGAAGCUGCAUGUGUCAUAACCAACCCAUUCAAGGAAUCCAAUAAUUCUCACCAGGGUAACUAAAUAUACUAUGUUGUCACUCCCAAAUGAAUAAAAUGAAAAAAAAAAAAAAGGAAAAGAGAGAGAGAGAGAGUCGCCUACAGGGCUACGGACGGCGAUGGAGGUCUUCGCACCGUAGUUUGAUAGAUCAAAUGCAAUUUCCAUACCAGAAUUUCCAGACCCCACAACCAAAACAUUCUUGUUUUCAUAGGACUUGCCGUUUUUAUAUCGGGUGCUGUGGAUGACCUCGCCCAGGUAAGUGUUGAGACCUUCAAGCUGCGGGAUGAAUGCAUCGGUGGUUUCUCCCGUGGCCACCACCAAGCACUUGCUGGAAUACUCCUCCAUCUGCUCGGGAUCGGAAGAACCCAAAUUCCUCGCCUUGACAAUCCAUUCUUCGGCGGCUUCAUCGUACUGCGCCGACUCCACCGAUCUUUGGUACAAGGGACAAAUGUUGAAAUGGGAGACGUAGUCGUCUAGAUAACGCAAGAACUGGUCUCUGGACACGUAAGUCGGGUAGGUGGUCGGGAACGGCUUGAGAGGAAGUUGACAGAACUGUUUAGCCAGGUGAAGAUGAAGGCGGUCGUAGGAAUAUUUCUUCCACAAGGAAGCAAAACAAUCUUCUCUCUCAAGGACUAUGUUUGGAAUGGAAAG
rnacentral:lncRNA from 1 species